CCUUUUUCAGCAGGGAAGAAGCGCAAGUGACGGUACCGCAGAAGAAGCGCCGGCUAACUACGUGCCAGCAGCCGCGGUAAUACGUAGGGCGCACGCGUGUCCGGAAUUAUUGGGCGUAAAGAGCUCGUAGGCGGUUUGUCGCGUCUGGUGUGAAAACUCGAGGCUCACCCUCGAGCUUGCAUCGGGUACGGGCAGACUAGAGUGCGGUAGGGGAGACUGGAAUUCCUGGUGUAGCGGUGGAAUGCGCAGAUAUCAGGAGGAACACCGAUGGCGAAGGCAGGUCUCUGGGCCGCAACUGACGCUGAGGAGCGAAAGCAUGGGGAGCGAACAGGAUUAGAUACCCUGGUAGUCCAUGCCGUAAACGUUGGGCACUAGGUGUGGGGCUCAUUCCACGAGUUCCGUGCCGCAGCAAACGCAUUAAGUGCCCCGCCUGGGGAGUACGGCCGCAAGGCUAAAACUCAAAGGAAUUGACGGGGGCCCGCACAAGCGGCGGAGCAUGCGGAUUAAUUUGAUGCAACGCGAAGAACCUUACCAAGGCUUGACAUGCACGGGAAGCCACCAGAGAUGGUGGUCUCUUUGGACACUCGUGCACAGGUGGUGCAUGGUUGUGGUCAGCUCGUGUCGUGAGAUGUUGGGUUAAGUCCCGCAACGAGCGCAACCCUCGUCCCAUGUUGCCAGCGGGUUAUGCCGGGGACUCAUGGGAGACUGCCGGGGUCAACUCGGAGGAAGGUGGGGAUGACGUCAAAUCAUCAUGCCCCCUAUGUCUUGGGCUUCACGCAUGGUACAAUGGCCGGUACAAAGGGCUGCGAUACCGUAAGGUGGAGCGAAUCCCAAAAAGCCGGUCUCAGUUCGGAUUGGGGUCUGCAACUCGACCCCAUGAAGUCGGAGUCGCUAGUAAUCGCAGAUCAGCAACGCUGCGGUGAAUACGUUCCCGGGCCUUGUACACACCGCCCGUCAAGUCACGAAAGUCGGUAACACCCGUACGGCAUGGCCCAACCGUCCCGAGCCAGCACAAACCCGAGCCAGUCGCGCC
rnacentral:rRNA from 1 species